rnacentral:rRNA from 1 species
UACAGAGGUCCCGAGCGUUGUUCGGAUUCAUUGGGCGUAAAGGGUGCGUAGGCGGCGGGGCAAGUCUGAUGUGAAAUCCCGGGGCUCAACCCCGGAACUGCAUUGGAUACUGCCUUGCUUGAGUACUGGAGAGGGAACUGGAAUUUACGGUGUAGCAGUGAAAUGCGUAGAUAUCGUAAGGAAGACCAGUGGCGAAGGCGAGUCUCUGGACAGCAACUGACGCUGAGGCACGAAGGCCAGGGGAGCAAACGGG